GGGGGUAAAUUAAUAAGUUAUUAAAUAAAAAAAAAAUUUUUAAGUAAAAUAAUAUUUAGGGGUUGAAGUAUAUUUUAUAGAAAAAAUUAAAUAAUUUAUAGUAAAUUAGUAUUGUAAAAGAAUUUUGAAAUAGAUGAAAUAUUAAAAUUGAAUGAAAGUAAUUUUAAUUUAGUGUAUCUUGUGUAUCAGAGUUUAUUAAAAUAAAUUUUUGAAGAAAAAAAUCUCGAAUUUAAAAGAGUUAAUUAAUUAAUAAAGUUAUUGUGGCAUAAAUAUUUUUUAUAAUUAAUUUGAAAUGAAAUGUUAAUCGUUUUUAAAUAUAUCUAGUUUUUUUAGAAAAAAAUUUAAUUUUUUAUUAUUUAAUAAAUAAAUUAAUUAAUUUAAAUUUAUUUAAUUAAUAAUUUUAUAUUUUAAGGGAUAAGCUUUAAUUUAAAUUUAUAUAAUUAUAAUUUAAAAUAUAAAUAAAUUGAAAUUUAUAUAAUUUAUAUUGUUAAAAAAAUUUAAUUUAUUAUAAAUAAUUUCAUUUAAAAUAAAAUUUAAAAAAAUUUUAUAUUUUUAUAAAAAAAAAAUUUAAAAUUUUAAAUAAUUUAAUAUAAUGAUAAAAUUAGUAUAUGAAAAUUUUAAAAAUAUUAUUUUUAAAUGAAUUAAUUAAAAGGAAUUCGGCAAAUAUUUAUAUUCACUUGUUUAUCAAAAACAUGUCUUUUUGAAAAUAAUAUAAAGUCUAAUCUGCCCACUGAUAAUAAAUUAAAGGGCUGCAGUAAUUUGACUGUACAAAGGUAGCAUAAUCAUUAGUCAUUUAAUUGAUGACUUGUAUGAAAGAUUGGAUGAAAUAUAAACUGUCUCUUAAUUAUAAAUAGAAUUUAAUUUUUUAAUUAAAAAGUUAAAAUAGUUUAAAAAGACGAGAAGACCCUAUAGAGUUUUAUAAUUUUAAUUAAUUAAGAUUUUUUAAAUAUAUAAAAUUAAAAUUAUUAAUAUUAUUUUGUUGGGGUGACAGAAAAAUAAAUUUAACUUUUUUUUAAAUAAAACAUAUAUAAGUGAGAAUUUGAUCCAAUAAUAUUGAUUAUAAGAAUAAAUUACCUUAGGGAUAACAGCGUAAUUUUUUUUUUUAGUUCACAUAAAAAAAAGAGUUUGCGACCUCGAUGUUGGAUUAAGAUAAAAUUUAAAUGCAGAAGUUUAAAAUUUUGAUCUGUUCGAUCAUUAAAAUCUUACAUGAUCUGAGUUCAAACCGGUGUAAGCCAGGUUGGUUUCUAUCUUUUAUAAAAUAAAAUAUUUUAGUACGAAAGGAUUAAAUAUUUAAAUUAAAUUUAUAUAAUAAGAAUUUUAUUAAAUUUUAUUUAAAUAAAUUAAAUAUAAUUAUAAUAUAUAUAUAUAUAUAUAUAU
rnacentral:rRNA from 1 species